rnacentral:rRNA from 1 species
GCCCGCUCAAGAAACUACAAAGGAAGUUGACGGGGCCCGCACAAGCGGUGGAGUAUGUGGUUUAAUUCGAUGCAACGCGAAGAACCUUACCUGGUCUUGACAUCCCGGAGACCCUUAGGAAACUAGGGGGUGCUUCCAUCUGGAAGAAUCUGGAGACAGGUGCUGCAUGGCUGUCGUCAGCUCGUGUCGUGAGAUGUUGGGUUAAGUCCCGCAACGAGCGCAACCCUUGCCUUUAGUUGCCAGCAGUUCGGCUGGGCACUCUAAAGGGACUGCCGGUGUUAAACCGGAGGAAGGUGGGGAUGACGUCAAGUCCUCAUGGCCUUUAUGACCAGGGCUACACACGUACUACAAUGGCCGAUACAAAGGGCAGCGACACUGCGAGGUGAAGCCAAUCCCGUAAAAUCGGUCUCAGUCCGGAUUGGAGUCUGCAACUCGACUCCAUGAAGUUGGAAUCGCUAGUAAUCGUGGAUCAGCAUGCCACGGUGAAUACGUUCCCGGGCCUU